GCCGGGGCCGGAUCGCGGCGGCUCCCGCGGAGCCCCCGAAGUUUGCGCUGCCGGUGGAGGCGGCUCUGGGCCCUCGUCCCGCCGCUUCCGGGGCCCCGCCGGGCGGAGCGGRSCGGGCCKGGCCGGGGAAGGGGGCGGGAGCGGCCGCCGGCGGGGAACCCAGCGGAGCCGCGAUGAAGAAGCCGGACGGGAAGGUGGUGCUGCUGGGGGACAUGAACGUGGGCAAAACCUCCUUGCUGCACCGCUACAUGGAGMGGCGCUUCCAGGAGACGGUCAGCACCGUCGGCGGCGCCUUCUACCUGAAGCAGUGGGGGCCGUACAACAUCUCCAUCUGGGAYACCGCGGGACGGGAGCAGUUCCACGGCCUUGGGUCUAUGUACUGCAGAGGAGCAGCUGCUGUGAUCCUCACGUAUGAUGUGAACAGCCUCCAAAGCCUGACAGAGCUGGAAGAAAGAUUCUUGGCACUGACGGACAGUGCAAGUGCUGACUGCAUUUUUGCUAUUGUUGGAAAUAAAGUCGACCUCAGYGAUGACUGCGCUUCGCCAUCGGAUGAAAAUAGACCCGAGAAGYCUGUUGCCAGCUGUGGUUCAAAGGUGCGAAAACAAGUCCGCGCAGAGGAUGCGAUUGCACUCUAUAAAAAGAUACUGAAAUACAAAAUGCUAGAUGAGAAGGAUGUUCCAGCAGCUGAGAAAAUGUGUUUUGAGACCAGUGCAAAAACAGGAUACAAGGUGGACUACCUCUUUGAAACUGUGUUUGACAUGGUAGUCCCCAUAAUUGUGCGGCAGAAGGCUGAGGGGCCACCGCAAACCGUAGACAUCACGGACUACAAGCCAGCCAAAAGGACAAAAUCAGGUUGUUGUGCCUGAACCAUUUACUUAACAUAAGAAAAGGGGAGGGAUUUUUCACUCCAGCAAAAUGAGGAGUAAGAACUGCUUGCAGUUCACCGGAAAGGAAAAGUCAAGGAACAAAUAGACUAAAAUGGUGUAUGCAAAAAACAAAGAACAAAUACAUCUUCUGAACAUUAAAAACUUCUGGGAAGCUCUGUGUAUAAAGARGUGGGAAUACAAGUGAAAUUAUGRAGUAAGACUUGCCAGUUUCAAUGGKCUCUGAAGGCAAAUGGCRUGUUAUURCAAUAGAUAGUGACAAUCAUGUGGACAGUUUUGAAAGCRUCUGAUUUUUAGUGACUUGCCAUUUCAUGUUGCAUGUUCAUGUUUGUGUACUCUUGACAACUUUCAUAUGAUUAUCUUCUUUUCCAUUACGAUUCUAACUUUGGAAGAUUGAACACAGUACCUUUUUAUUCUUAAGGAAAAAAAGAAAAUCCAGAAAUUACUUUUGUAGUUCCCUGGUUCCCCAGUAUGAUGCAUGGUUUUGGUGCUGCUGGCUCUAAAGCAGAACAGCCUUCCUAGUACCUAACAUCAAAUUUCAAACCCACUGCUGCACAAAAUGUGACACUGGAGACCAAAUACCAUAAGG